rnacentral:rRNA from 1 species
AAUCUUCCACAAUGGACGAAAGUCUGCUGGACCACCGCAGCGUGAGUGAAGAAGGUUCUCGGAUGGUAAAGCUCUGUUGUCCUGGAACAACCAGGACAGGAGUACCUGUCUGUACUUUGCCGGUCCCUUACCCGACUGCCACGGCUAAUUUCGUGCCGGCAGCCGCGGUAAUACGUAGGUGGCAAGCGUUGUCCGGAAUUAUCGGGCGUAAAGCGCGCGCAGGCGGUCCUUUAAGUCUGAUGUGAAAGCCCACGGCUCAACCGUGGAGGGUCAUUGGAAACUGGAGGACUUGAGUACAGAAGAGGAAAGCGGAAUUCCACGUGUAGCGGUGAAAUGCGUAGAGAUGUGGAGGAACACCAGUGGCGAAGGCGGCUUUCUGGUCUGUAACUGACGCUGAGGCGCGAAAGCGUGGGGAGCAAACG